rnacentral:rRNA from 1 species
AGGACGAACGCUGGCGGCGUGCUUAACACAUGCAAGUCGAGCGGAAAGGCCCUUCGGGGUACUCGAGCGGCGAACGGGUGAGUAACACGUGAGCAACCUGCCCCUGGCUCUGGGAUAGCUCCGGGAAACCGGGAUUAAUACCGGACAUGACCUCCUCCCGCAUGGGUGGAGGUGGAAAGUUUUUCGGCCAGGGAGGGGCUCGCGGCCUAUCAGCUUGUUGGCAGGGUAAUGGCCUACCAAGGCGACGACGGGUA